UACGGAGGAUCCGAGCGUUAUCCGGAUUUAUUGGGUUUAAAGGGUGCGUAGGCGGACCCUUAAGUCAGUGGUGAAAGUUUGCAGCUUAACUGUAAAAUUGCCAUUGAAACUGAGGGUCUUGAGUGUAAAUAAGGUAGGCGGAAUGUGUUGUGUAGCGGUGAAAUGCUUAGAUAUAACACAGAACACCAAUUGCGAAGGCAGCUUACUGGGAUACAACUGACGCUGAGGCACGAAAGCGUGGGGAU
rnacentral:rRNA from 1 species